rnacentral:rRNA from 1 species
CGGCAGCACGGGGGCAACCCUGGUGGCGAGUGGCGAACGGGUGAGUAAUGUAUCGGAACGUACCCAGUCGUGGGGGAUAACUAUCCGAAAGGAUAGCUAAUACCGCAUACGUCCUGAGGGAGAAAGCGGGGGACCUGCAAGGGCCUCGCGCGAUUGGAGCGGCCGAUAUCGGAUUAGCUAGUUGGUGAGGUAAAGGCUCACCAAGGCGACGAUCCGUAGCGGGUCUGAGAGGACGACCCGCCACACUGGAACUGAGACACGGUCCAGACUCCUACGGGAGGCAGCAGUGGGGAAUUUUGGACAAUGGGGGAAACCCUGAUCCAGCCAUUCCGCGUGAGUGAAGAAGGCCUUCGGGUUGUAAAGCUCUUUCAGCAGGAACGAAACGGCCGGCUUUAAUAAAGUCGGCUAAUGACGGUACCUGCAGAAGAAGCACCGGCUAACUACGUGCCAGCAGC